UCAUUUUCUUCCCUCUCCCAUUUCUUCUUCGUUCCUUUCCUUUCCUUUAUCGCCGCUAGCUUUAUUCCGUCUCCCGCCCCUUCUUUUCUUCCCUCUCCGCAGCGCAGCCAGGUUCUUCCCUCUCCGCAGUAAGCAAGGAGUGGCUCAAAGGUAACCCUAUUUCUCAUUUCUUCCCUUUCUACAACACCGCGCGCAGCCUCGCCAGGCGAUGAGCAGCAAUUUUACAAGUGACCGCAUUCAAGGGGGUCGCAACCUCUUUAGGCCUUCAGUUCACUAGCGGACAAUUCACGAACGGCUACACACGAGGGGGCCAAUGCCUCACCAGGUAUUUCGUUCACAAAUUGGCGCACACGAGGGGGUCGAUUCCGGGCAGUGACCUGUAACGAGGCAGCGACAUUGUUAUCUUCUUCUGAAACUCUCGCCCUUUCCAUCUCCAUGUACUGGUAGGAAGCUUGCCCUUUUCUUCAUGCAGCACCAAGCCGAAGUGAUCGACCUUUCCUUUCCCAACAUUCAUCUUCUCUCAGGUUUGUGUCCUAAUCCUCAAUUGCCCCCUCCCCUCUUUCCAAUUCUUCCCCUCAAUGCAUGGUCUUGAGGCGCUCUUGCUGGAGCACGCUCGAAGGAUCUGUUGUGAGCACUGCAUCGUUCUCUUUUUCUAACUACUUUCCGUGUUUGUUGGUUGGCACCUGUUCCCCUCCCCUUUUCAAUUUCUCCUCUCACGGCAUAGUUAUGAUGGCAGGUGUUGGUCUUGAUGCUUGUUGUCACAGCGCUCAUGCUGGUGCACGUCUGAAGAAUCAAAUUUUCUUCUUCAAACAUGUUCUUCGAAGAUCUGAAAUCCUUGAAGAAGAAGACAUGAAUUGAAGAAUGGGAACGAAAUAAAUUCUGCAUGCAAUACCAGUAGAUUUACCACCAAGAAGCACAUCUCCUAUGUUAAACUGCCAAUUCAAUUUUGUAUAAAGGAGUGCGAAGAGGCAUUGGUUUUGAAUCCUUCAUUUAGGCGUGCACGCCAGAGGUUGGCAUCGUUGCUUAUAAGGAAGCUUCAAGCAGUGGAAAGACAAUUGGACAUGUGUGCAGAAGCCCGGAAGGUUGGAGAUUGGAAGAGUGCCCUUAAGUAGAGUGAUGCUACAUUCAUUGAAGGAGCAAUGCUUCUUCAUUGGUAAUGGUUUCAAAAUCUGAAGCACAACUUUGACUUCAUCAACUUAAAGAAGCUAAUAUGGUCAUAUCCUAUGUAUUUAAACUUGAUUGUGUAAAUUCACCAUCCUCAAAUACUAAGUUUUUUGGUAUGCUGGCAAAUCCAUACUUGUAUUGUAAUACCCCGGUUCUGAGAUUCUGGUUA